AGAGGAAUAGCUGGGUCAAAUGGUGGUUUCAAUCCCAGUUUUCCAAGGAAUCUCCACACUGCUUUCCAAAUUGGCUGCACCAAUUUGCAGUCCCACCAGCAGU
rnacentral:pre_miRNA from 1 species